GCCGUUGCUGACUGGUAACGGUGUUCGCUUUGUAAGCGAAUGGUUCGGGGUUCGACUCCCAUCAGGGCG
rnacentral:tRNA from 1 species